rnacentral:rRNA from 1 species
UAGUGGCAGACGGGUGAGUAAUGCAUAGGAAUCUACCUAGUAGUAUGGGAUAGCCACUGGAAAUGGUGGGUAAUACCGUAUAAUCCCCGCGGGGGAAAGAUUUAUCGCUAUUAGAUGAGCCUAUGUCGGAUUAGCUAGUUGGUGGGGUAAUGGCCUACCAAGGCAGUGAUCUGUAGCUGGUCUGAGAGGAUGAUCAGCCACACUGGAACUGAGACACGGUCCAGACUCCUACGUGAGGCAGCAGUGGGGAAUAUUGGACAAUGGGCGCAAGCCUGAUCCAGCUAUGCCGCGUGAGUGAGGAAGGCCUUAGGGUUGUAAAACUCUUUCAGUAGGGAAGAUAAUGACGGUACCUA